GGCGGAGUAGCUCAGUUGGUAGAGCAGCGGGAUCAUAAUCCGCGUGUCGGGGGUUCAAUUCCCUCCUCCGCUACCA
rnacentral:tRNA from 1 species